AACGGAGGGCACAAGCGUUGUUCGGAAUUACUGGGCGUAAAGCGCGCGUAGGCGGGCUUGGAAGUCGGCGGUGAAAGGCCGGGGCUCAACCCCGGAGGUGCCGUCGAAACUCCAAGUCUAGGGACCGGUAGAGGCCGGUGGAAUUCCCGGAGUAGCGGUGGAAUGCGUAGAGAUCGGGAAGAACACCCGUGGCGAAGGCGGCCGGCUGGGUCGGAUCCGACGCUGAGGCGCGAAAGCGUGGGGAGCAAACAGG
rnacentral:misc_RNA from 1 species